UGGAGGCCCGUCUGUCGCCGGACGGAGAGCCGAGGUAGGGAGGAGGGGAGUAGCGUGUGUCGGAGUUACGAGGCGGAGACGUGAAGAAAGCGGACCAGACAGAUGGGGUGGGACUCCCGGGGUUCAACCCCGGAAAUGACUUCAAAAAUAUUGGGCUGGAGUGCGAGGGAGGGGAGUGGAAGUCCGAGUGUAGAGGUGAAAUUCGUAGAUAUUCGGAGGAACACCAGGGGCGAAGGGGGCUCACUGGCUAGAUGCUGACGCUGAGGUGCGAAAGCGUGGGGAGCAAACAGGAUUAGAUACC
rnacentral:rRNA from 1 species